rnacentral:tRNA from 1 species
GGAAGGGUCGCUCAGCGGAAGAGCACCGCGGUGCCCCCGUGGCGGCACUUUGCCUCGUGGCGUUCGAAUCCCACCCCUUCCG